UACGUAGGGGGCAAGCGUUAUCCGGAUUCAUUGGGCGUAAAGCGCGCGUAGGCGGCUUGUUAAGUCAGAUGUGAAAACCGGGGGCUCAACCCGCGGCCUGCAUCUGAAACUGGCAGGCUUGAGUCUGGUAGAGGAAAGUGGAAUUCCUGGUGUAGCGGUGAAAUGCGCAGAUAUCAGGAGGAACACCAGUGGCGAAGGCGGCUUUCUGGGCCACGACUGACGCUGAGGCGCGAAAGCUAGGGGAG
rnacentral:rRNA from 1 species